GUUUGCUUAUCCAUUAUAAGCCCUACACCACCAGAGAUCAGGGACUGAUACUCUGGGAAUUAUUUCAAUCAAUGCCCAUCCAUGUAAAUAAAUCUGCCUCGAAAUCUUGGGCAUUGCUUAGGUGUUUCUGUUUGCCAUUGCAGUAUCACUGAUUCAUUGAUAGAGUUAACAGGGAAAGUUGUCAAGGACAAUUUUCUAGUUAGAACUGUUGAAGUUGAUGUUGGAAUGUGGUCAAGAAAGGUACCCUAGGAGCACCUUGUGAGGGGCCAGCCACAGAGGGAAGCCAAGAAAACACCUGAGGAUGAGCCUGCCUGUGGAAACUGAAGAAACUGAGGAGGUCAGGGAAAUAGAACACAGUGAGCAAGGGACAGAGUGACAGGAGUGACCACAGAAAUAGAACUCAGGUAACAAAAUAACUAGAUUCACAGAAGUCAUAAGAACAUUUGCUUACACUCAAAAUGGACAAAAAACUGGCACAAAUGGUCCUAACAACUAUGCUUUCUCAAAGGAACACUACUUGUGAGGUUGAGAAGGAAAGAAUCACACAUCUGAGACCAGAGUUGAAAUGUCCCUGUCCCAGACAGCCCAGAGGAAAUUCCAGGAAGGGAGGCUUGGAAGUAUCAGCCACUAGAUGCACACUACUGUCCUUUGCUGACACAGUCCUUAGGAAAGGAGUAUGUAAAACAGCCACGUGACCUGCCCACGUGUGUCCAACACCACACGCUAACCUGAAUAUUGAAGUUUGAAAAAUCUACCUUGGAAAAGGCAGAUCUCUCUGCUUCAAGGUUGAAUACUGCAUUGUGCAUUAAGUAAAGGAAAAAGUCACCAGCUCACAAUGGACAUGCACUUGAUCAACUGACAACAGUAACUUCUUUCUAAAUUCGUUGAACACGAACAUCAUCACCCAGGUUAAUGAGAGUAUGCAAGAAUCAAUGUCCUAAUAAAGAUGACCAUACCUAUUAUGAAAUCUUAAGUUCUAUAAAAUGCAUCUGAAAAUAGCUUCACAAAGUACAUUCUGCACCCAUUUUCUACUUACUGUAAAUAUACACCCAUUAAAAAUUCUAGUAACUGUG
rnacentral:lncRNA from 1 species